UACGUAGGGUGCGAGCGUUAAUCGGAUUUACUGGGCGUAAAGCGUGCGCAGGCGGCCCGUCAAGACAGAUGUGAAAUCCCUGGGCUCAACCUAGGAAUUGCGCUUGUGACUGGCGGGCUCGAGUACGUUAGAGGGGGGUGGAAUUCCUGGUGUAGCAGUGAAAUGCGUAGAGAUCAGGAGGAACACCGAUGGCGAAGGCAGCCCCCUGGGCCUGUACUGACGCUCAUGCACGAAAGCGUGGGGAGCAAACAGG
rnacentral:rRNA from 1 species